rnacentral:rRNA from 1 species
UGGGGAAUAUUGGACAAUGGGCGCAAGCCUGAUCCAGCCAUGCCGCGUGAGUGAUGAAGGCCCUAGGGUUGUAAAGCUCUUUUGUGCGGGAAGAUAAUGACGGUACCGCAAGAAUAAGCCCCGGCUAACUUCGUGCCAGCAGCCGCGGUAAUACGAAGGGGGCUAGCGUUGCUCGGAAUCACUGGGCGUAAAGGGUGCGUAGGCGGGUCUUUAAGUCAGGGGUGAAAUCCUGGAGCUCAACUCCAGAACUGCCUUUGAUACUGAGGAUCUUGAGUUCGGGAGAGGUGAGUGGAACUGCGAGUGUAGAGGUGAAAUUCGUAGAUAUUCGCAAGAACACCAGUGGCGAAGGCGGCUCACUGGCCCGAUACUGACGCUGAGGCACGAAAGCGUGGGGAGCAAACAGGAUUAGAUACCCCCGUAGUCC